rnacentral:rRNA from 1 species
GACGAACGCUGGCGGCGUGCUUAACACAUGCAAGUCGAACGGUGAAAGCGGAGCUUGCUCCGCUGGAUCAGUGGCGAACGGGCGAGUAACACGUGGGCAACCUGCCCCUCACUUCGGGAUAACUCCGGGAAACCGGGGCUAAUACCGGAUAUGACCUCCUUGGGCAUCCUUGGAGGUGGAAAGUUUUUCGGUGAGGGAUGGGCCCGCGGCUUAUCAGCUUGUUGGUGAGGUGAUGGCCUACCAAGGCGACGACGGGUAGCCGGCGUGAGAGGGUGACCGGCCACACUGGGAGUGAGAUACGGCACAGACUCCUACGGGAGGCAGCAGUGGGGAAUAUUGCACAAUGGGCGCAAGCCUGAUGCAGCGACGCCGCGUGAGGGAUGACGGCCUUCGGGUUGUAAACCUCUUUCAGCACCGACGAAGCGCAAGUGACGGUAGGUGCAGAAGAAGGACCGGCCAACUACGUGCCAGCCGCCGCGGUAA